GAUGAACGCUGGCUGCGUGCCUAAUACAUGCAAGUCGAGCGAACAGACGAGGAGCUUGCUCCUCUGACGUUAGCGGCGGACGGGUGAGUAACACGUGGAUAACCUACCUAUAAGACUGGGAUAACUUCGGGAAACCGGAGCUAAUACCGGAUAAUAUAUUGAACCGCAUGGUUCAAUAGUGAAAGACGGUUUUGCUGUCACUUAUAGAUGGAUCCGCGCCGCAUUAGCUAGUUGGUAAGGUAACGGCUUACCAAGGCAACGAUGCGUAGCCGACCUGAGAGGGUGAUCGGCCACACUGGAACUGAGACACGGUCCAGACUCCUACGGGAGGCAGCAGUAGGGAAUCUUCCGCGAUGGGCGAAAGCCUGACGGAGCAACGCCGCGUGAGUGAUGAAGGUCUUCGGAUCGUAAAACUCUGUUAUUAGGGAAGAACAAAUGUGUAAGUAACUAUGCACGUCUUGACGGUACCUAAUCAGAAAGCCACGGCUAACUACGUG
rnacentral:rRNA from 1 species